rnacentral:misc_RNA from 1 species
AAAUGCGAUAAGUAGUGUGAAUUGCAGAAUUCAGUGAAUCAUCGAAUCUUUGAACGCACAUUGCGCCCUUUGGUAUUCCUUAGGGCAUGCCUGUUCGAGCGUCAUUUAAACCUUCAAGCUCAGCUUGGUGAUGGGCGACUGUCCCCCCCCCUCGCGGGGGGGACUCGCCUCAAAAACAUUGGCGGCCGGUACAUUGGCUUCGAGCGCAGCAGAAACGCGGUCUCGAGCCCGGUGGAUUGGCUCCCAUAAGCCUAUUCUUUUAUUUUGACCUCGGAUCAGGUAGGGAUACCCGCUGAACUUAAGC